AAAAGACCAAUCGGAGGUGGAAGGUGGUGCGGGGACGGAGACGCUAGGACCUGGCGGCCGGCGCAGACGGAAGCCAUACCAAGGACCCUGCAGUCUCAAAUGAGAUUCUUGCACGGUUUCCUCUCACGGAGCAUCACUUCCUGUUCAGUCUCCUCCCGCUGAGACUCCUCCCUCUUGGGCCCCAGCAACCGUUCGGAGAAAGGUAAAGCUUUCUUUGCACAUUGACUGAAAGGAGUAUCACUGCCCUCACACUAACAUGCCACACAGAACAGGAAAAUGUUGCUGCCGCGUGGCCAGGAAGCAUGCAAGUGUGACAUCCAGAACUGAGAAACUCGGAGACAUUUGGCGGUUAAUAAUGGAUUUGUAACAGGAUUUAUUGUGUAUAUACACACUCUCUUUAAACUCAGUGUUUUAAAAAUACAAAUUAGUCGAUGAAAACUGAGCAGAAAGGACGAGGGUAUGACUGAAAGGAUAAAGGAGCUUGCUGCUAACUCCGAUAACCUGGGUUCAAUACCUAAAGAUGACAUGGUAGAGAAGAACUGACUCCUAAAAGUUGCCCUCUGACCUCCACAGGAUGCCAUGGCUUGUAUAUAUGCACAGGUGAAUACAUACAUACAUACAUACAUACAUACAUACAUACAUACAUACAUACAUAAAAUGCAACAAAAAGAAAACUUUAAUAGGCAGACAAUUGCUUGUCCUGAUUAGACCUUUUGUGAGUUUGACACAAGCAAUCAGGGUCUUGUGGAAAAAGGUAACUUCAACUGAGAAAAAUGUUUCUCUUAUAUUAGACUGUACACGUGGCUUCCAUUCUUUGCCAUUGCAUAUAGCUGGCUAGAAAAAUCUUUGCAGAUUGUAAAUGUAUUUUUUAUUUCUCUUGACCUCAUAAUAUUUAGAAGUGGAACUGAUGGAUUGUAUAAUUAUUUUAACAUUUCUGGGUGGCUGAUACACUGUUUCAUUACCAAACUCCACUAGAACUGGAUAUGGGUUCAUUUUAAAUUUAGAUUUCUUGAGUAAUAUUAAAUGGUAUUCCAUUUUGAUUUUGUUUUGAAUUUCCAUGAUGAUUAAUGAUAUUGAAUAUUUUAAGAUGUUUAAUGACAACUGGAAUGUCUUUUUUAAUGAUUAAUUAAUUAUUGAUUGAUUUCCUUUACGUCCUGAGCAAAGCUUCCCUUUGAAAUGAAAUAUCUACUCAUAUCUUGGAAUAAUCUUUUGUCUUCUAAAAUGGUUUUUAUAUUCAUAGAAAAACUGAAGACAGGGCACAGAGAGUCCUUCAACACUGCCCCUCGGUGGUACACUGUCGCCCUGAAGAACCACUUGGAUUCUUCCCAACGUCCAUAACUUAUUUUAGGGUCCAGUUUCGCUGUGACGGAGUGAAUGGGCUCGAAAGUGUAUUUCACUUAUUGAAUUUAUUCACCAUUAUAAGUGAAAGUCCCCAGUACCUACUCUACCUUUUGUCCCUCCCUUUCCCUGGUAACUACCAACUUAUUUUUUAUUGUCUCACCAUUUUUAUUUUUCUAGAAUGUAAUAUAGUUAGAAUGCAUAGUUAGGUACCUUUUCCAGGUUGGUUUGUGUAUUAGUUAAGUAUAUAUAUAUAUACAUAUGUACAUAUAGCAUCCCUUUGUCACCCUCUGAUAAUGCUUUAUUCUUUUUUUUUCUUUUCUUUUUUUUCUAGAGCUGGGGACCGAACCCAGGACCUUGAGCUUGCUAGGCAAGCGCUCUACCACUGAGCUAAAUCCCCAACCCCGAUAAUGCUUUAUUCUUAAAGACUUAUCAUUUCACUUUGUAUCAUUCUUCUUACAUUUAGCCAACUUUGAUUAACCAUCUUUUCUUUAUUUGGCAUCCAGAUGGUUUUGUAUCUGCUGCACUUUUUCCUUUCUCACGACACCAACAUCCAUCUCUACCCCUCGGUUUACUUCCAGGUGCUUCCACUCUCCGUUCUUCUCCCCUAUCCCUGCUUCCUUCUCAUUUUUCAUUCAUUUGCUGAGUAAAUGUACUCUAUAUUGAGUUUACUGGGGUGUUUUCCUACUAUAACAGAGUGUUUUCACCUCUCAGUGUUACUGGGAAUUGGGAUCUCAAGAAUAGACUAGUUACUGAGAAGAUCCUAAAUCAAACCUUAAGAGAUUAUCAACAUCAAUACCAGUAAAUGAAAACAGUAAGACAGCAUAAGGUACAAAGGGUCAUGACUCCUCCAUUCCUGAAUCCAAAGAAGCUAAGAUUAUUGAAUUCCUAAGAAUUCAGUGUCUGCAUCUAAAUGAAUCAAUGGCUUAAGGGUGAAACUAAUAGAGGGGUGGUGUGAACGAAUAACAGCAAGGGAGAAGAGAAGUCGGUGGUGUGGCUAAGAAAUUCAGCAAGAGGGUCAGAUGGAAGGACAGCAAUGUUGGAAGUGAAAACCAAGCAAAAGGAGUGGAAAGCGUCCUCAGUAGUCUAGAGGAAACAGCAGACAGAACCAAGGAUGAAAGGCCAGCCCAAGGAAACUCAACACCCAAACAUCAAAGCAAAAAAAUUAAACCAGUAUGGCCACACAGUCUAAACACUCUAGGGUAUGACCAAACAGCCAAACCUAAGAAUCCACAGGCUAGAACAAAAGAGGGAGAGAGAGCAGAAAUAAACAAUGAAGACGUAGAAAAUGUAUUCAGUGAAAUUACAGCAGAAAAUUCCCAAAACUCUAGGGAAAGAAACAGAUAUCCAAACCCAAGAAAUAUUUAUCCCAAAGAGACAGAGCUAGAGAGGAAUGUCUCCAUGACACAUCACAGUCAAGAUGCUGAAACCACAGAAUAACCAGAUCAGAUGAAACAGAGGAAGACGUCAAACUCACUCCACAAGCAGCAGAGCAGCGCUCGGAUCACCAGCGGGAAGCCCGACAGCACGGGACGGUGUUUCAGGCCCUGAAAUUGAAUGACUGCCAACCAAGAUCCAGCAAGGUCAAUGUUAAAACUGGCAGACUAAACAGGAAAAGACAUAAAUCGUGUCGUAUAGAGCGUCGCAUCUUGAGUAGUAGUAUGUUAUCCGCUAAUCACAAUAUCCAAGCAAAGCCUGUUCCUGCGUCAUGCACCUCACCCACAACUCCAGCUGUUUCAGAGGCUGAGGCCAAAUUUGAAGAAACACAGUUUAAAGUCAACCUGAGUGUGAUGGUUUGUAUAUGUGCAGGCCAGGGAGUGGCAUAAUUAGAAGGUGUGACCCUGUUGGGGUAGGUGUGUCACUGUGGGUGUGGGCUUUAAGACCCUCAUCCUAGCUGCCUGGAAGUCAGUAUUCUGCUAGCAGCUUUCAGAUGAAGAUGUAGAACUCUCAGCUCCUCCUGCACCAUGCCUGCCUAGAUGCUGCCAUGCUCCCACCUUGAUGAUAAUGGACUGAACCUCUGAACCUGUAAGGCAGCCCCUAUUAAAUGUUGUUCUUACAACA